ensembl:lncRNA
CCUCCUCGCUCUGACCUUUCCUCUGCUUACAGUUUUAGCAACGGAGAAAGCUCGUGCUACUUUCCUACGGAUGAAAGCAGGAGCUAAAUACCUCACAAAUGCCGAGCUACACAGGAAAGAAAAACCUUCUUUGUGAUGUAUUUCAUCUCCGCGGCCACAGACGGGUUGUGGAGUCGGCAGUUGAUCGAUUUGUUUCCCCUAAAGAUCCUCGGUUGAGUGGGAUUGGUGACAAAGCCUUGGUUCUGUUUAUAUGGGCCCCCGGUGACCUGAGGGUAUUUGAGCUGCCCUUCGGGGGCCAGUGAUCAGAAUGCUCUGUGUUAUGACCACGAGCACCAUGGAAGGGGUUAAGACUCGGUCGGUCUGCGAGGCCUUCAACACACUGGAGGAUCUGCCGUUCCCUCUGCGAGGAUCACAAACCGACAACCUGCCACCCCUCAGUGGCCAAUGAAAAGUACCAAUCGAUCGUUACCUGAAGCCAAACGUUCAAUCGAGACCAAUCCGGUCUGUAGAGGUCGUAUCUUCUGUGCUCACGUGGGCUAUUCUUUUCUUCACCUUUUCUAUCAAUAUAGAAUUUUUUCCCUCUCUAACCUGCCGUCUCCUGCACAUUUUCACUGUGUUUUUGGUUUACAAGAAAUCUUAACUUAAAUAUUUUAUAAAGUUCAGUUCGGAGCAUCGAAAUGUUACUUCAUACACAGCUUGCGUCUAUGAGUUUAGGUGAAUGGCUGAUUCAAGGUAGCGCUCUGGUGCAAUUAUUUUAUUAGUCGACGACAUCAAAAAGUAUUUGUCUACUAAGAAUGUGUCUUGAAUAAAG